UGCGAUUAUCCCAAAAAUAAACAAUGCGCAUCGUCACUGUCAGUCAGUGGAGCCGCUCGGUCCAGGUCGUACCUCUCGGCCAUGGUGGAUUCCAGUCUUCGCGCUUCCGAUGAACCCGCCGGACGUCGUUGACCGGCGACGCCUCCAGUGCUUCCUCGAGCGCGCCCCCGUCUAAGAAAGGUAUCGCAAGUACUGUCAAUAUUGCAAAUAGAAUUUGUCUAUGCAACAGUGGGUUUGGCAAGUCUGGAAGGAUGGACUUUGAUUUUGAAGGUUAAGGAUGCUAGUCUUGCAGUGCAAUUGAGAGGAAAGUGGCAGGAAAUUGGGGUUGCAGGCUUUGUCUGUGCUGGUUUUCAUCUUCCGUAAUGGAUACAGUUAUCAGCUUACAUAAUAUGGAAUUAUGAUAAUGGUCUAUAUCAUGGGAAUGGGACAAUAUCAAAACUAAUCCCUAAGUUGCAGAGAAGUUCUCUUCACAGUCAUGCUUAUUAUAAGAAGUUGAAUUUGAUGAGACUAAGACAGGUCCGAGGCCUGUUUCUUUCAUCUACUAGAAGAUAAAAUGACGAAAGGCAGGGAGGACACAUGGGGAGCAGAACCCAUCAAAAUGGAUGAGCAGGACAGUGCAGCAAGCGACAGCAUUUGUUACUUCUGGACCUCAUUCUGAUUGAUCAUUGACUUAUGCUAUAUAUGCAGCAUAUUGGGGCCUUAGCAACCGUCAGUGACUUAAAAGUCUUUUCUGAGCACAUUGAUUAUAUAUGUACAUCCUUGUGUACAUUUUUACUUUUGUACAUAGACAUAUAUUUUUACUUUUCCUUCUCUGUUGAUGAAAGAGUGCCAAAUGAAAGCAACACUCGUGUUUUGAAGAAAAGUUUACCUGGCAGCAGCAGGAGUUCGAGCAUUUCAGUCAGCUGUUUCACUGUGAUUGACAAUUUGUAAACUGGAAGUUAGCAGCUGGUGAAAGAGGGGUCCUUCUCCUGUUCAUAUAGAAUUGACUGAUGAACAUGUAAAAGAGUCGACGUAUUCCAUAAGGGUUAAAUCCUGAUCAUGUGGAAUAUGCUUAAUUUUUUAUUUUUCA